GGGGCGAGCGCCUCCCUGAGCUGGGCUUCCCUGAUUCCUUGCUGAUGACAGAGCCAUUCUCACUGGGCGACCUGCUGGAAAUAACCAUAGCAACAGGGAGAUGGGAAAGGUAUGAAUGAACACAUUUCUGGGGAGAAACUCCAACUCUGCUUUACUCUUUCAUCCACUUAUGAACUUAUGUUUACAUGGAGCCAUCAACCCAAACUUCUGGUCAAAAGCAUAAGACCCAUUCUGAGAGGUUAUGCAGGCCACAACCAGCAGGAGUGAGGAGACUGAUGUGGCAAGACGGAAAAGCCAGAAAAAUAAAUGCAACGUGGGUUUGGUUUUGGUUUCAGCAUCUUAAUAUCUUCCCAAAUGAAUUGGACUCCCGUGGUCAGCUGAACUGGAACAGAGGUGAGGUUUCUUGCAUAGCUUUGGCAAUGAUACAGCCCUUAGUAAACUUCUGUUUUUAUGGUAACAUUAUGAAGCAAAUGUAGAAAUCAUUCAGCUGCAUAGACACUGUUUUCUUUAUCUAUAUUUGUUUCAUAAGUCCA